rnacentral:rRNA from 1 species
UACGGGGGGGGUAAGCGUUGUUCGGAAUUACUGGGCGUAAAGGGCUCGUAGGCGGCCAACUAAGUCAUACGUGAAAUCCCUCAGCUUAACUGGGGAACUGCGUGUGAUACUGGAUGGCUUGGAUUUGGGAGAGGGAUGCGGAAUUCCAGGUGUAGCGGUGAAAUGCGUAGAUAUCGAGAGGAACACCUGCGGCGAAGGCGGGUUGCUGGGCCGACACUGACGCUGAUGCGCGAAAGCCAGGGGAGCGAACGGG